rnacentral:lncRNA from 10 species
ACAGGAUCCCCAGCAAGUCCAGGAAUCUGACCUGAGGUCACCAAUCAUGCCCAGGGAAACCAGCCAGCCCCCAAAGCCUCCAAAACCCAAGUGGGCUUGGUUCUGUUGGCAGGUGACCCAGCUGGAAUCAAACAAGAAAGAAAAGUGUGUUUAGAUCAUCAGGUGACUCACCAAAUAGAACUUUCUUGAAAACUGUUUAAUAAUCAAGACCAGGAAAAGAUUAUGGAAUAUUCUAGCAAAGUCCAAGUACUUGGAUUUUAAAAUCAACAUUUAUCUUACUGCUCUUAUAUUACAAAGUUCCGCCCUCACCUCCAGUCUCAACGUUUGCACAAAGCAUUUCAGCAGCACAUGCAAUGGCGUUAUGGUUGGCUUUUCCCUCUCGCUCCUCCGCACAGCACUGAAGAAGGACAGGAGCAGUUUUCUUUGUUUCUUGCAUGAAUUUACUACUGAGGCUCGUCAGAGAGAGGCUGCCUGUGGGAGUGAUGCAUGGCCUCUGCUUCCACGGAGAAAAGCCACACGGUGGUGGCCAGGGGUGGGAUGCGCCCGUGGACAUGGAGGACAGAUGUGUUCUGAGAAGCUGCCUGUUUCUUUUGUUUGUUUUUGAGAUGGACUUUCACUUUUGUUGCCCAGGCUGGAGUGCAAUGGCGCGAUCUCAGCUCACGCCAACCUCCACCUCCCGGGUUCAAGUGAUUCUCCUGCCUCAGUCUCCCAAGUAGCUGAGAUUACAGGUGCCUGUCACCAUGCCCAGCUGAUUUUUGUAUUUUUAGUAGAGAUGGGGUUUCACCAUGUUGGCCAG